ACCGCCCUCGUCUCUGUCAUGGCCGUCAACAAUGAGAUUGGCGUCGUCCAUCCCCUGGAGGAGAUCGAUCGCAUCUGCCACGAGAAGGCCGUUGUCUUCCACGCCGACGCCGCCCAAGCCCUUGGGAAAAUCCCCAUCGAUGUCGAGAAGAUGGGGAUCGGGCUCAUGUCGCUUAGCGGGCACAGAAUCUACGGCCCUAGGGGCGUAGGCGCCCUCUACAUUCGCCGACGUCCCCGCGUUCGGGGUGAGCCUCGCAUGAGCGACGGCGGGCAGGAGAGAGGCAUCCGGUGCGGGACCGUCCCCACCCCUCUAUCCGUCGGGAUGGGUGCCGCAUGCGAGAUCACGAAGAAGGAGAUGCAAUACGAUAGCCGUCGCAUCUCGUCGCUGUAGGCGCGGCUCUUGAAUGGCAUCAGAGCAACGAUGUGAAUGGGAGCCGUUCACGUCGCUUCGGCGCGUGAUAUCAUCCGGAAGAAGACGCACUCAUUGCGCUCGUUCGUGCCAAAACUACCCUCGUGUUGAUUCGAUGAAUCGUGGUGCCCGCUCUGUGCGGCACCCGUAUCGUUGCUUCUCGGUGGGCAAGUGGCUCGUACUGCAAGCGUGUCGGGCAAGCCUCUUGCGCUCCAGGUCACGGUUGCGUGAUUAGUUUCCGUUGAUCUCGUUUUGAAGGGCUUAUGAUGUCACUCCCGUCUCCUCUCCUGCAAUCUCCGAGACGAUCGGACGGUGCAGUCUCUGUAAAGAUGCCAUUUUGGAGUGGGCUUAGGCAUCGAUUUUGAGUGAAGUGGAAAUCGCUGCCGCCAGCAGAUGGAAUCAGAAGCUUCCGGUGCUCCUGAGCAGCAAAACGGCACUCCACACCUUUAGGCGGAUAAUGUGGGUGCUUAUGGAUCAUCGGCAACUGAGUCGGAAAAUGGGAUUUACUUACUUGCAUGGCCGACAAGUGACGAAAGCCUUCUACGACCACCUAAUGCAUGGAAACUGGACAAAAGUCUCCACUCUUAGUACCAUUCUUAUGUUCUUCAGGAUACUCGCUUUGUGUCACACACCAAUUCCUGAUCUAAACGAGGAAACAGGUGGUUUCGCCAGUGAAGCAGUCACCAGAUGAAGGAGCAUUUCUUGUCGCAGCCAGGAAAUCUGUAAGAGGGCCCAAUCUGGCAUAUACAUUAGGCAGAAGUAUUUUUCUUCUGCGGACACUGUGGAGAGGUCAUAACUCAAUCUAUAUAUUGAAGUCAGUAAGUUAUCAUUUAUCUCUGUUGUAGACUCCUGGUGUCUUAAUCAUUUCGUGCGUUACGGGGAAUUCAAGAUUCUCAAUCUAUUGGCAUUCGACAGCUAAAGGAAGAGAAUUCUGUAAUCGUGCAUGAUGAGAGUGAGCAGGUUAUUCUUCUUUGCAAUGGUGAUGACAGGUAUGUCUGACUAACCCAGUCCGGGUGAUACUGUUUUGAUUGUUGAUGCAUCUGUAUCAUGCAAUGAAACACACUUAUUGAUGUUCUCAAAUCAUUUAAUGUAAGUGGAUUGAAUAUGGAUUUAAUUAUUUUGCAUCUUAAAUGCUUCAGCCUAUUUUUUUCUUGAGUAUUGUCAUCUUUGGUAGACUGUCAAAAAUGUGGAUGAUCGUAUGAGAGUGGCACAAGCAAGCAUCUAAAUGAAUAUGGGGAAGCAGGCUUGCAGAUAUUAGCAGUCAAUACAGGGUAUGCCUCUUUGGUCUUUCACAUAACUCAUAAUGUAUCAUUACUGAUGUGUGGAAUAUCGAUUAUGAUUACACAUGAAUGUUGUAUAGAGCACCAUUUUCUUUCCAGAUGUGCUUGCAGUUUACUUAGCAAGGUAUGAAACAAAUAUGUUUAACCAUUGUCUGAGAGUGACAAAGUUGGAUGCUUGUGGAAACUCGAGUAUUACUCAAGUUCCAACAUUUUUGAGAUGUUAGGGCCAUACUUAGCUUGGCCUGGAUGGCUAGUGAUUUCUCCAUUUCCCCCAAUUCAGAUUCCUUGAACAACUUAUUGUUGUACAGGUCCACUGGUGCUAUAAGAGGAUAGCACUUAUGGUGAGAACUAAGGAAUAAUCAACAUGUGCUUUUGCAGUUAUGAUGUUCUACCCUUUUUUCUAUCUAGAUAUUUUGGAUCAUUUUUAGAUUUGCUACUUUUUUUUAUGAAAAAGCAUUUGAGCUGACAACAUUCUACUUUGAGGCAUAUGCUGGCUUCUCAGGGCAGUCGGCAUAUGAUGACUAGCACAUUCUCCUAUUAACAUCGUUCUAGCAUAGUUGUCGGUUGACAUGGCAAUGGGAGUCUUCGAGCAGGAUGUUUCUCCUGAAGUAUGCUUGCAGCUCCCAGGAAGGGCCAAGGAAUCUGUUUACUGGUUGGUACAGGAUCAUCAGUUGGGUGUUCAAUGGUCUUUGUGCAUCCAUUGUCAUAUAUUUUGUCAACAUCAGGAUUUUCUACAAUAGGGCAUUCCGCAUAGGCAGCCAGACUGCGGAUUUGAUUGCUGCUGGAACCUCCAUGUUCACUUGCAUUUUACAUGGAUUCAGCAUCUCUUUGUGUGGGGCAGUAUCGCCAAAUUGUAUCUCUUCUUCAUUGGCUGAGGAAUGUCUUCACCAACAAUCUCCAAGAAAGACUAGCAGUUACUAGUAACUGGAAGUCCUUGGACCAGCACUCAUUUAUUGGGCUGUAACAUUUUUGGUUGUUGCAAUCUGCAAUGCUUAAUAUCUGGUCCACAUGACCUUCCAGAGGGCCUUCAAUCCACUGGUCAACCAUGUGAUCCAAGAAAUCAAAUACUACAAGAAGGAUGUGGAGGGCCAGCAUAUGUGGAAGAGAGGGAAGUCUAAAGCAAGGCAGAAGAUUAUGAUUGGUUUUACCGCAAGGAUGGAUGGCAACAUCAGACAGCUAAGAAGGAAGUCUCAUAGAAAAGUAAAGGACAAACCCAGUAGACGGGCUCCCACCAAUGAGGGGCCUGGGAAGAGUCAAUAGCAACCUUACCAAUAUAUUUAGGAAGUAUCACAUGAAAGUCUCAUACCAUAUCAUUAAGCAGCAGCUUCAUGGAAAUAGUUGAGGUAUGUGUACAUCGAGCAGUAGAUUUAUACCCUGUCAUUUAUUUCAGAGCACUUGUUGCAGGCUUAAUAUGGUGCUACAUCAUCCAUAUUCAUAUAAUGCGGAGGAAAUCAACCAGAAAGCUGUAGAUUAUGCAGGAGAAAGCUAGUUUCAAGAUGACCAUUUUUUAUUAAAAGAAUAUUAUGGAUCAAGGUACCCUCUGUUUCAGUGAGCUAAUUAUCUGACAAUUUCAAUGUGCUUGUUGAUCAAAUAGUCCGAUUUCUAAUUAUAAAUUUCAACAUGAACAUCUUAGUCUCCUAGAAGUGGCCAAAGAUCUGGCUAUUUAGGCAUUCUUUUUCCCUUGUGAGAAUGAAGCGUUCUAUUUUUGGAUCACAUCUGCUGGAUUUUGACGUCAUACUUUCUGGUUUUUUUUUUCCUUUACCUUCAGUAUGUAAGCUGCUAACUCAUCUUCAUCAAAAGUAAUUCAUAACAAUUUGCACAAGCUGCUAAAAUCCUGAAGAAAUGCAUGUUGCUCAACUGACACAAACAAACAUUCUUGACCUUCGAUUCAACCUGGGAUUACUCAAAUGGCAUUGACACCCCAAGACAUGAAACCUUCAUGGAUCUGAGAUCAAUAAAUUAGUGCUAUCAUUAAAUCUCUUGUCAUUUCAUAGCUGUUACAUAUGAAUUUAUCUCUUAUAAGCUAAUGUUAGUCCGACAUGUCUGAUCAAUGAUACUGAAGCUUGUGCUGAUCCGUUUCAAUUGUUUGACAUUGUUUAUAGUGCAAUCAUCUGACAUACUGAAUGUUAAUAGGUCAUGAAGUAAAUGCCUCCAACAUGUGACCCCAGCGGCCUGCUAACUUCAACUGCAGGUAACCAAACAUGCCCCAAUAUCUCCUCUUGCUGCAUUAUUGUUAUGCAUGCAUGCAUGCAAGCUCGACCAGCAUGGCUGAUCGGUAUCGUAGACGACGAAAAUUCACGUUCAGAGAGAAUUUUUUGCUUGUACUAAUAUGUUCCUCAAACAGUACUCAGGAUGCCCUUAUAUAAGUUCUAAAGGCAUUCUUUUGGGAACAUAACAUGUACCAAUCUUUGGAUUCCAACAAGUCACCUCCAAAUUUCUUGUACUCUUCUCUUUUUUUUUUCUUCCUGUAUCGUCUGGACCAGUCUGCAAAAGCUGUAGAAUCUCAUAAGACAUUGCUAUCUGAAGCGUCGAAAGCCGAACUACUUUGGAUGCAUCACACGUUGUCAUUCAAAUAGAUGAUGAAUA